ensembl:lncRNA
CUGCAUUAGAAUUUUGAAGUAGUUCGUUGCUUAAAGAGAUCAAACUCCUGUGUUUAGAAUUUGCUUCUUUUAUGUGGGGAUUUGGAAAAGAGUCAAUAUGUUUCUAAAUCUACAUAAGGCAAGCGUUUGUUAGAAUAUCACUUCCUCCAAUUUCUCUAUCCCAAGCUGACCUAUUUAACUGACCACUCUCUAAACUUGUGUUUUCACUUAUUGUGAGAAGCACUUGACCAUUGAGAUGACUGUUAGCUACUAAUACUUGAAGAAAGAAAGAUACUUCAAACUUCAUUCUUUGCAGUAUCCAGAGCAGUGCUUCUCAACAUUGGUUACAGACAUGAAGAGAAAGGAGUUUGAUCAUUUGUGGCCUGUUUGACCAGUCAGCUUCACUCUGCUCUGAGCCCAGGCCCGUAUUUCUCAUUUCACCACACCCAUAAGUGCUUUCUGACUUGGAAAUGGAGAUUAAAUUUAGUGCUCCAUUCAUCCACUAAAUACACGAGUGUGUGCUAAGUCGUUUCAGUCAUGUCCAACUAUUUGCAACGCUAUGGACUGUAACCCACCAGGCACCUCUGCCAAUGGGAUUCUUCAGGCAAUAAUACUGGAAUGGGUUGCUGUGCUGUCCUCCAGGGGAUCUUCCUGAUCCAGG